AAAAAAUGUGGGCUCAAAAUCUGUUUUUACAGGAUAUCCACUAAGUGGAUUCAUGGCUCAUCAUUCACAUUUACCACUGUCUCCUGGAGGGAUGCUCUUUAACAAGCUCACCGGAUGGUGCGGCUAAUUUGUCUUGUGCUCUACGACUGUGAUAGUGCUCUACGACUGUGAUAACCUUGGUAGCUCCUGCUGGACCCUUCCUGUUUCUCAUCAUCCUUUUUGGACUGAGAGAUCCCACAAUAGAUAAUCUCUGUUGAUGGACGACCCCCAAAAUACACAGGCAGCUGUCAGGAAGCCAGCAUCAAAAGAAAACCAAAAGCAAAAUAAGACUUGAGAAGUAGGCAGAGGGAACAGCGUUCCACACUGCUGAAAAUAAUCUGACAAGGAGAGCCCGAUUAGUGUGCUGUGGUUAGGUCAUCCACCUUGGGGGACUACUUGGUUUCAGCCUCUUGCUUC